UCUACGGGCGGCAGCAGUGAGGAAUAUUGGUCAAUGGGCGGGAGCCUGAACCAGCCAAGUCGCGUGAGGGAAGACGGUCCUAUGGAUUGUAAACCUCUUUAGGCGGGGAGCAAUGCCGGGCACGCGUGCCCGGAGGGAGAGUACCCGCAGAAUAAGCAUCGGCUAACUCCGUGCCAGCGGCCGCGGUAAUACGGAGGAUGCGAGCGUUAUCCGGAUUUAUUGGGUUUAAAGGGGGCGUAGGCGGAUUUUUAAGUCAGCGGUAAAAUGUCCGGGCUCAACCCGGGCCGGCCGUUGAAACUGGUUUUCUUGAGUGAGCGAGAAGUAUGCGGAAUGCGUGGUGUAGCGGUGAAAUGCAUAGAUAUCACGCAGAACUCCGAUUGCGAAGGCAGCAUACCGGCGCUCAACUGACGCUCAUGCACGAAAGUGUGGGUAUCGAACAGGAUUAGAUACCCUAGUAGUC
rnacentral:rRNA from 1 species